rnacentral:rRNA from 1 species
GUCGAACGAUGAAGCCCUUCGGGGUGGAUUAGUGGCGAACGGGUGAGUAACACGUGGGCAAUCUGCCCUUCACUCUGGGACAAGCCCUGGAAACGGGGUCUAAUACCGGAUAACACUUCCGUCCUCCUGGACGGUGGUUAAAAGCUCCGGCGGUGAAGGAUGAGCCCGCGGCCUAUCAGCUUGUUGGUGAGGUAAUGGCUCACCAAGGCGACGACGGGUAGCCGGCCUGAGAGGGCGACCGGCCACACUGGGACUGAGACACGGCCCAGACUCCUACGGGAGGCAGCAGUGGGGAAUAUUGCACAAUGGGCGAAAGCCUGAUGCAGCGACGCCGCGUGAGGGAUGACGGCCUUCGGGUUGUAAACCUCUUUCAGCAGGGAAGAAGCGAAAGUGACGGUACCUGCAGAAGAAGCGCCGGCUAACUACGUGCCAGCAGCCGCGGUAAUACGUAGGGCGCAAGCGUUGUCCGGAAUUAUUGGGCGUAAAGAGCUCGUAGGCGGCUUGUCACGUCGGUUGUGAAAGCCCGGGGCUUAACCCCGGGUCUGCAGUCGAUACGGGCAGGCUAGAGUGUGGUAGGGGAGAUCGGAAUUCCUGGUGUAGCGGUGAAAUGCGCAGAUAUCAGGAGGAACACCGGUGGCGAAGGCGGAUCUCUGGGCCAUUACUGACGCUGAGGAGCGAAAGCGUGGGGAGCGAACAGGAUUAGAUACCCUGGUAGUCCACGCCGUAAACGGUGGGAACUAGGUGUUGGCGACAUUCCACGUCGUCGGUGCCGCAGCUAACGCAUUAAGUUCCCCGCCUGGGGAGUACGGCCGCAAGGCU